GGUUAAGCGACUAAGCGUACACGGUGGAUGCCCUGGCAGUCAGAGGCGAUGAAGGGCGUGCUAAUCUGCGAUAAGCGCCGGUAAGGUGAUAUGAACCGUUAUAACCGGCGAUACCCGAAUGGGGAAACCCAGUGUGACUCGUCACACUAUCAUUAACUGAAUCCAUAGGUUAAUGAGGCGAACCGGGGGAACUGAAACAUCUAAGUACCCCGAGGAAAAGAAAUCAACCGAGAUUCCCCCAGUAGCGGCGAGCGAACGGGGAGGAGCCCAGAGCCUGAAUCAGCAUGUGUGUUAGUGGAAGCGUCUGGAAAGGCGCGCGAUACAGGGUGACAGCCCCGUACACAAAAGCGCAUGUGCUGUGAGCUCGAUGAGUAGGGCGGGACACGUGGUAUCCUGUCUGAAUAUGGGGGGACCAUCCUCCAAGGCUAAAUACUCCUGACUGACCGAUAGUGAACCAGUACCGUGAGGGAAAGGCGAAAAGAACCCCGGCGAGGGGAGUGAAAAAGAACCUGAAACCGUGUACGUACAAGCAGUGGGAGCACAGGUUUACCUGUGUGACUGCGUACCUUUUGUAUAAUGGGUCAGCGACUUAUAUUCUGUAGCAAGGUUAACCGAAUAGGGGAGCCGCAGGGAAACCGAGUCUUAAUUGGGCGUUAAGUUGCAGGGUAUAGACCCGAAACCCGGUGAUCUAGCCAUGGGCAGGUUGAAGGUUGGGUAACACUAACUGGAGGACCGAACCGACUAAUGUUGAAAAAUUAGCGGAUGACCUGUGGCUGGGGGUGAAAGGCCAAUCAAACCGGGAGAUAGCUGGUUCUCCCCGAAAGCUAUUUAGGUAGCGCCUCGUGAAUUCAUCUCCGGGGGUAGAGCACUGUUUCGGCUAGGGGGCCAUCCCGGCUUACCAACCCGAUGCAAACUGCGAAUACCGGAGAAUGUUAUCACGGGAGACACACGGCGGGUGCUAACGUCCGUCGUGAAGAGGGAAACAACCCAGACCGCCAGCUAAGGUCCCAAAGUCAUGGUUAAGUGGGAAACGAUGUGGGAAGGCCCAGACAGCCAGGAUGUUGGCUUAGAAGCAGCCAUCAUUUAAAGAAAGCGUAAUAGCUCACUGGUCGAGUCGGCCUGCGCGGAAGAUGUAACGGGGCUAAACCAUGCACCGAAGCUGCGGCAGCGACGCUGAUGCGUUGUUGGGUAGGGGAGCGUUCUGUAAGCCUGCGAAGGUGGCCUGUGAGGGUUGCUGGAGGUAUCAGAAGUGCGAAUGCUGACAUAAGUAACGAUAAAGCGGGUGAAAAGCCCGCUCGCCGGAAGACCAAGGGUUCCUGUCCAACGUUAAUCGGGGCAGGGUGAGUCGACCCCUAAGGCGAGGCCGAAAGGCGUAGUCGAUGGGAAACGGGUUAAUAUUCCCGUACUUGGUGUUACUGCGAAGGGGGGACGGAGAAGGCUAUGUUGGCCGGGCGACGGUUGUCCCGGUUUAAGCGUGUAGGUGUGUGUUCCAGGUAAAUCCGGUUCACUUUAACACUGAGGCGUGAUGACGAGGCACUACGGUGCUGAAGCAACAAAUGCCCUGCUUCCAGGAAAAGCCUCUAAGCAUCAGGUAACAUCAAAUCGUACCCCAAACCGACACAGGUGGUCAGGUAGAGAAUACCAAGGCGCUUGAGAGAACUCGGGUGAAGGAACUAGGCAAAAUGGUGCCGUAACUUCGGGAGAAGGCACGCUGACACGUAGGUGAAGUGAUUUACUCACGGAGCUGAAGUCAGUCGAAGAUACCAGCUGGCUGCAACUGUUUAUUAAAAACACAGCACUGUGCAAACACGAAAGUGGACGUAUACGGUGUGACGCCUGCCCGGUGCCGGAAGGUUAAUUGAUGGGGUCAGCGCAAGCGAAGCUCCUGAUCGAAGCCCCGGUAAACGGCGGCCGUAACUAUAACGGUCCUAAGGUAGCGAAAUUCCUUGUCGGGUAAGUUCCGACCUGCACGAAUGGCGUAAUGAUGGCCAGGCUGUCUCCACCCGAGACUCAGUGAAAUUGAACUCGCUGUGAAGAUGCAGUGUACCCGCGGCAAGACGGAAAGACCCCGUGAACCUUUACUAUAGCUUGACACUGAACAUUGAGCCUUGAUGUGUAGGAUAGGUGGGAGGCUUUGAAGUGUGGACGCCAGUCUGCAUGGAGCCGACCUUGAAAUACCACCCUUUAAUGUUUGAUGUUCUAACGUGGACCCGUAAUCCGGGUUGCGGACAGUGUCUGGUGGGUAGUUUGACUGGGGCGGUCUCCUCCUAAAGAGUAACGGAGGAGCACGAAGGUUGGCUAAUCCUGGUCGGACAUCAGGAGGUUAGUGCAAUGGCAUAAGCCAGCUUGACUGCGAGCGUGACGGCGCGAGCAGGUGCGAAAGCAGGUCAUAGUGAUCCGGUGGUUCUGAAUGGAAGGGCCAUCGCUCAACGGAUAAAAGGUACUCCGGGGAUAACAGGCUGAUACCGCCCAAGAGUUCAUAUCGACGGCGGUGUUUGGCACCUCGAUGUCGGCUCAUCACAUCCUGGGGCUGAAGUAGGUCCCAAGGGUAUGGCUGUUCGCCAUUUAAAGUGGUACGCGAGCUGGGUUUAGAACGUCGUGAGACAGUUCGGUCCCUAUCUGCCGUGGGCGCUGGAGAACUGAGGGGGGCUGCUCCUAGUACGAGAGGACCGGAGUGGACGCAUCACUGGUGUUCGGGUUGUCAUGCCAAUGGCACUGCCCGGUAGCUAAAUGCGGAAGAGAUAAGUGCUGAAAGCAUCUAAGCACGAAACUUGCCCCGAGAUGAGUUCUCCCUGAGACUUAGAGUCUCCUGAAGGAACGUUGAAGACGACGACGUUGAUAGGCCGGGUGUGUAAGCGCAGCGAUGCGUUGAGCUAACCGGUACUAAUGAACCGUGAGGCUUAACCUU
rnacentral:rRNA from 2 species